UUUUGCAUGUCUGCCACUGUGUGGAGGUU
rnacentral:sRNA from 1 species